rnacentral:rRNA from 1 species
GUCUACGGCCAUACCACCCUGAACACGCCCGAUCUCGUCUGAUCUCGGAAGCUAAGCAGGGUCGGGCCUGGUUAGUACUUGGAUGGGAGAAAUGUAAAGGCAACCUUUCAUU